AAGGGGAGUGCUGGAUCUUGGGCUGUGUCUCCUGGCAUGUUGGGCUCUGGGGUCUGCGCUGCUGGAAUUGCGUUCCCGGCCGCGCAGCCCCCU
rnacentral:pre_miRNA from 1 species